ensembl:lncRNA
CACCACCACACAUUUCCCAGAGCUUGCCACACAAGACCGAGCACCCAGCCUGCACCUUCAGCAGAUGAGAAGCUGUGCUCUGGGAGCCAUAGAAAAGCAAGGUUAACUUACCUAAAAUACGCUAUACAGGCCUCUUAGGAGACAGCAGAGUUGUUUAAUGAGGGAGCACUUCCCAGGUUUGGAUUGUAGGAAUUAACAAGCAGGGGUCAGGUCUAGUUACAAACUCACGGGAACCUCCUCAGUCUCAAAGAGAAUCAACACUUUAAUAAAGAAAAAGAAAAGACACCUGCUUAGCAGAGAGCCCCAGGGUUAAUAGAAAGGACAUUCAUACCAACAAAAAUUUCAUGGAAUUAAGGCUGAUGGACAUUGGAAAUGCUUCCCCUCUCUUCAUUUCAGGAGGGUCUGUUGCUUCUCGGGGUGAUCAGUUGCUCCUUGCAGAAGAGGCUGUUCAUGGACACAAGCCCUGUGAGGUCAUUAAGUCUUUUUCUUUUUCAGUUACUUUUCUGAACGUUUUGGAGUUUUCUCAUUAGAAUGAAAGCAAAUUUUAUGCUGUAAACAAUUUAAACCUCCUCUACACUGUUCCCAUUAAGCAGGAAGUCCCCUCACAUGGUAAGCAAUGGCUAUUUUUAAUUAAAGUUUCACUGCUAUUAUUUCAUGAUUUUUAAGUAACUAUUCAAGUUGAUAUUUUCAGCCAAAUGAUGUUCUUGGGUUUAGGCCCAAAUGAGUAAUUUGUGAAAGACUUAGACUUACUCGACUCAAAUGCAUUCAGUUUAAUGAGAAUUUUUAAAAAGGUCUUUUACUUUUUUGUUUUCAUCUUGAGUCUUAGAUUGAUUAAUAUCUCUUACAAAACUGGCAGGCCUUCUGCUUCCUCUUCCAACCACUCUUCUUUGCCUUCUGCAUUCAAGAACACUAGGCUCACCAGAGGCAGAGGUCUUGGCCUCUUGAAUUUAAGGAGGGCUCGCCAGGAUCCCACAUCCUUGUUACUUCCUCAAACUCAAGUGAGGGAUGGAAAAGAUGAGAGGCAGAAGUCAUCACGAAGAGGCUGUAAGUGCAGAUGACUCAGUCAAAGUGACACAGCUCCAACGGGCAGCCACCCAUGUCUCACUGACUCUCGUUGCUCCUUUUGUCCACUCAACACCAGAGUGUAUUCUAGAACCAACGCACGUGCCGGGUCUUGCCCUGUAUCACCUCUAAUUCUCCCCAACACCUAGAAAGCAAGCACGAUGAUCCCCCGCUUCCAGGAGGAGAGCACUACUCAUAGAACGUGCGAAACUGGCCUGAGAUGAAGGCAGCAGAGGUGAGCAGUGAUGUGAGCCUGAAACACGGACCUCUCUGCGGACACCCAGCCUGCUCACUGGCUCUCGAGUCCCCAAGGGAAAUGGACUGUGCCUUCUCUGGAGACUUGCAUGCUAUUUCGGUAGCUUGCACAGAGUAGUAACCCACUUGGGAUUUAUUCAAAUCCUUUUCCUGUGUGCAAAGUCACUGAAAUACCCAGGAGGAAACAAGCGCUGUUCCUGGGGAGGAGAGGUCAGGAGUGACCACGAGACUUAUGCGGAACUCACAUUGGAAGAAACUGGCACCUCUGAGUUACUUUAAGGGACCUCUGCCUUAGCACAAAUGAAACUAAGAGUACAGUUCGUAAAUAGCUCUCUAUAUUUCAGAGUCAGCACUUUGAGAAAUAAUUGCUGGAGACUGCCUUGCCUUUUUUUUAAAUUAUACUUUAAGUUCUGGGGUAUGUGUGCAGAUCGUGCAGGUUUGUUACAUAGCUAUACACAUGCCAUGGGGGUUUGCUGCAUCCAUCCCCCUGUCAUCUACAUUAGGCAUUUCUCCUAAUGUUAUCUGUCCCCAAUCCCCCACCCCCUGAUAUCCCUCCCCUAGUUUCCCCCCAUAACAACAGGCCCCACUGUGUAAUGUUCCCCUCCCUGCAACCAUGUGUUCUCAUUAUUCAACACCCACUUAUGAGUGAGAACAUGCAGUGUUUGGUUUUCUCUUCUUGUGUCAGUUUGCUGUAAAUGAUGGUUUCCAGCUUCAUCCAUGUCUCUGCAGAGGACAUGAACCCAUCCUUUUGCAUGGCUACAUAGCAUUCCGUGAUGUAUAUGUGCCACAUUUUGUUUUUAAAUCAGCCAGAAUGCAAGUGGUUGUCCAUCCAAUGCAGUCGGUGAAGGGCCAGAAAGAAAAGGACACUGCAGAACCAGACCGGUGGAAAGAAGAGGGCGGAGAGAGGGUCUCUCCAGUGGCCCAACCCUUAGGGGGAAAUGAAUUUGCACUCAGUACCAGAACGAGGCUGAUCCUAGGGUACGUAAGAAUAUUGGUUUCUUAUGCACCAAAGCUUCCUGCCUCGCAAGCUGAGUAUACAUCUUCCCUAGCAUGAUUUUGAUCCUUCCCAAACUUUUCCGUAGUUACCUCUGUAAGGCACUGUGGAGAGACCAGUUCAAGGGAGACUGGGACGGAGGCCGAACAGAAGAGGUCACACACACUCCACUGUUAAGGUUCUGGAUUUCAGAAUAGGUGGAACAGAGAUGUCUCCCCCAUCCGUGCCUGUGAAUGGGGCCUCCACUUGGUUGGGUCUGCCCAAGGUCAUACUUUUGUACAUAAAAUUAAAUAAGGAAAAAGGGGAGCAUCUAUGAAUUAUGGAUCUUUUCAAGCACAUCACAGUUUCCCAAAAAAAGAAGGACUCAGGGAAAGAACAGAAUAACGCGAACUUCUACCACUAGUUUGAGACGCCCUUUCCAAUCGAUCAAGAAACGUUUUUAAGUACCUAUCAAAUGUUCAGUAUUUUCUACUCAAUAAAGAGGCAACUGUAAGUUCUGGAAAAUAUGAUUCCCACUUUUAAAAUGGUAUCAUCUGGUUAGAGAAGUGAGGUGAAUAGACUUCACAUACAUAAUAAGACAAAACAGAUUAAAUUUAGUGCUGAAUUAUGCGUUUAGGAAGAAUGAUAAGGCCAGGGUAAUCAUAGGAGCCUUCGAGGGCACAGUUAUCUCAUUAUUAAAAGGAGGAGUGAUUUGGAUGAUGGAGGAAAGACCUAGAUGCUCAAGGACCACGUGUGUGAGGGAGAAAUGUGAAAUGGAGGGGCGACAUAGACUAGAGUGUUUUCUCAUCUGUAAAAGGGGGAAAGCAUCAGCCCUUUCACCUUCAUGGGAUUUCUCUGGGAAGGAAAGUUAGGUAGCUGGUGUAUUUCAAUUCAAGCCUGAUGAGGAAGUUAGAAGCCAUGGGGUCCUUGGAAGUAUGAUUCCCUGUAGCCAGUCAGAAGAUUCCUCCAUAAGCCUGUCUCCCUCCUGAGGUACCACUGGCUCCACCCUACUGCUCUGUCUGCUGCUCCCCUUGGCUCUCCUCAGAGUAGAGCAAAAGUAGAAUAAGGUAGAGGAGCACCCCUCCUCCACAAAGACCAGGGAGGAGUCUUCAAGACUGGGCACGCCAAAGCAGUCUGAACCUCCUCCAUGAGAUGUUGCAAGAAUGAAGGAGUUCCCUGUGGAUUGAGUGAAUACCAAAUGUUCUGGCAUGUGGAUACCCAGUCAAGAGGGGUCUUUCAGGCAUGAAGCAGGAAGCUGAGGGCAUGACUUCUUACUGUGGGAGCUAAGGAGAUGGAGAUCUCCAUACAGUCUCCAAAGAACCAUACGGGUGUCCACCCAUGAUGAACACUUGGAUUUCCAGCUUAGGAAGAGCACCAAAGGCCAGCAUCAGCCACUAAGGCCACAGUACACAACCAAACAGACUGUCAUCUCACCCAGUCACUCGGGGGCACUUGCACUUUCUCGCCAACUUCCUGACCUUAUCCUCAGAGGGUCCUAGAAGAGAGAUAAGGAGGAAGAGAAGAAGAAAGAGGAGGAGGACAAGAAUGAGGGGGAUGAGGAGGAGGGAGCUGAGGUGUACUUGCUCCAUAGGCAGGAGACAAGAGAUCUGAACCCGUCUCGAGAGUGACAUUUGCAGGGGAAGAGCACUGGAUCCUUAGUACCAAAAUGAAGCAGCUCUGAAAAUCAGUGGGGCUGAGAAAGGACAGGCUCCAGCAGAAAGUCACUGAGGAUGCCUGGAGAAGGGAGGGUUCAGCCUAGCAGAGUUGGAAGGGGCAAAUAUUGGAAAAAACAAAACUACAGAGUUUUCUGCUGAUCCUGCCAAUAAAACAACACUUCACAAGAAGCCAGUGUCCAUUUGUAUUUGUAAGAAACGAAUAUGUUCACGUUUCUAAAAGUUAG